UACAGAGGUCUCAAGCGUUUGUUCGGAUUCAUUGGGCGUAAAGGGUGCGUAGGCGGCGCGGUAAGUCGGGUGUGAAAUCUCGGAGCUUAACUUCGAAACUGCAUUCGAUACUGCCGUGCUUGAGGACUGGAGAGGAGACUGGAAUUUACGGUGUAGCGGUGAAAUGCGUAGAUAUCGUAAGGAAGACCAGUGGCGAAGGCGGGUCUCUGGACAGUUCCUGACGCUGAGGCACGAAGGUCAGGGGAGCAAACGGG
rnacentral:rRNA from 1 species